GACGAACGCUGGCGGCGUGCUUAACACAUGCAAGUCGAACGGAGUGGCGAACGGGUGAGUAACACGUGGGUGAUCUGCCUUGCACUUCGGGAUAAGCUUGGGCAACUGGGUCUAAUACCGGAUAGUGCAAGAUGAGCUCGCGGCCUAUCAGCUUGUUGGUGGGGUAAUGGCCUACCAAGGAGUCGACGGGUAGCCGGCCUGAGAGGGUGUACGGCCACAUUGGGACUGAGAUACAGCUGAGACUCCCACGAGAGGCAGCAGUGGCGAAUAUUGCACCAUGGGCGGAAGCAUGAUGCAGCGACGGAGCGGGGGGGAUGAAGGGCUUCGGGUUGUAAACGCCUUUCGACAGGGACGCGGUACCUGUAUAAGAAGCACCGGCUAACUACGUGCCAGCAGCCGCGGUAAUUC
rnacentral:rRNA from 1 species